CUGCGAGCAAUGUAUCGAGAGAUAAAUCAUUCGUAAGUUGAGCCGCGAUCUCGGCAGUUUCAAAAGCGCGCAGUGCGACUUGAGUAUCGAGAAUUUGAGAUUUUCGUCGCGCUGAUUUCCUCAAAUUUGCAGGGGCUUCACUUGUGAUAUUUUCAAGAGAACACAGCAAAAAAAUCGAAACUCUGCGAUCAAUAAAAACGAAAUCGCUGGAGCAGGACGCGUUUGGGCCUGUUUGGGGCAAUUUUCGCACCGUCGCUGCACUCUGCCGCUAUAGCCUAUACGGCUAUAGGCUAGCGCUGGAUAUGUACGUGUAGAUCUACAUGACUGUACUGUGUCCUGGGUAUCAUGGUCGACCUCAUUCUCUCCCUGGUACCUUUCCACUUCCAAGAAGCCCAAGAUAAUGAAGAUUGAGUGAGUAGAACUGAAGUUAUGAUCCAAACAACAUGAAAAAUGCAUAAUUUUGAAAAUUUCCUAGGGCUCUUUAGAAAGGGUUAAAACUUAAAACUCAUCGUUUGGGAUUCGGUUGGAAACCCCCCUAGAGGUGACCCUGCGUACGCGCCUGACAGCUCCUUGAAAAGAUGGCCUCUCAAGCGCAAUUGAGAAAACACUUGCAUAUCCAUCAAUACUUCGGCCCUGGGUCAUUAUAAGGUUGAUAAGAACCAGAGAGCGAGGUGUAAAAGGAGCACGUGCAUGUUUUGUGUUCUAUCUGUCCAUCAGGUGGCUGGUAUCCUGCACCUACAGUUGAUCUUGCCCUGGAGGAUUAUGGUGAUGACGGCGAAAUCUCAGCAGACAAGGGACCUUGGCUGUUUGACUUGGAUGUUGACCCAUUAGAGAAGAACAAUCUCUACUCAAGUAUGCCAGACCAGGUGAAGGUGAUGGAGGCCCAGCUGGCCGAGUACAUGGAGGGAUACGUCAACGACCUCUAUAGCCAGCACCAGCCAGAUCCCAAAUGCAACCCAGAUCUCUUCAACGGAGCCUGGUCAUCAGGAUGGUGCUGAUUACUAGUGUGAUAGUAUCCAUCAUGUCCUGGUAACAACACAUCGCUUUAUUACGAUUUGGGUCGAUUUUGAUACUAUAAUUAUGUAUAAUCAUUUCCACCUGAGUCACAGAGUACUACGCAUCUGGACUCCAGGUAGUCGUAACAAACAAAUGGCAAACCGAAAACAAUGGGUCUAUGUAAUAUUAUAAUUAAAUAAUUCAGAAUACUUUUGCUUUCUCCCAUGCCGAGCUGCCCAGCAUGCCUGCGUCAUCUCCCAGGACUCUACUUGCUUCUCAGAGUCUGGUAUCGUGAAUUGAUUGAUGGGUGCUGAGCCAAAUUGGCCGUGGUAAA